UUGAGACGGACAUUGAAGUAAAUAUACAUCAAAUGAAAACAGGGAUAUCUUAAGAAUGUGUGUAUUUACUGGAUGCUAAUUUUGCUCAGGCAAUGGUUGGAUCAUCAAUAAGCCACAUUGAGUAAUUUUGGAUUAUACUAGUCUUGCUGAAUAUUUCUCAAAUCACACUUGAGCCUGUACAUGGUUGUACAUGAUUGAUAAAACGCUGAAGUACGCACAGAUUGCCUAAGAAACCUCUGACGUUCCAAGGAUGGAGAAAUUCCAAGA